ACGUUUGCUGAGUCAUCGUGUUCCCUGCAUUCUAUUUUCUGUCCCUACUGACUCUUCCUUGUUCCCGCAGUCUCUCCCUGGUUCCCUGUGGAGUCCUCCUGGUGUCAGCUGACUCGUUGUGGUCAGCUGACUUGUCCUGGUUCCCAACUCUGUGCUCCUUGUUCCCUGCUGACUUUUCCUUGUCCCGGCAGUCUCUUUCCGGUUCCCUGUGGCGUCCACCUGGUCUCAGCUGACUCGUCCUGGUUCCCAAGUCUCUGCUCCUUGUUCUUUGCUGACUCCUCCUGGUUCCCUGCGGAGUGUUUGUCUUCCUCAUUCCCUGCGGAGUCGUCGUGGUCUCAGCUGACUCGUCCUGUCUCCUCCUGCUUCCUUGUUGAGACCUGCUGGUUCCCCCUGGUCUCUCCUGGUUCCUCCUGAUCCCUUCUGGUCCCUCUUGGUUCCUCCUGGUUCCUCUGGGUCUCUCAUGGUCCGUCUGGUCGCUCCUUGUCCCUCCUGGUUCCUGCUGAUGUUUUUCCUUCCAGGAUGCGCUGUGAGGCUGGGGUUCCUGUCGCCCCCUGCCGGUCACUCAUCACUGCGUGAUCCGGUGAAGGAGAAUCCACGGCUCCCCG